AGUCGAGCGACAGAUGAGAAGCUUGCUUCUCUGAUGUUAGCGGCCGUCGGGUGAGUAACACGUGGGUAACCUACCUAUAAGACUGGGAUAACUCCGGGAAACCGGGGCUAAUACCGGAUAAUAUUUUGAACCGCAUGGUUCAAUAGUGAAAGACGGUUUCGGCUGUCACUUAUAGAUGGACCCGCGCCGUAUUAGCUAGUUGGUAAGGUAACGGCUUACCAAGGCGACGAUACGUAGCCGACCUGAGAGGGUGAUCGGCCACACUGGAACUGAGACACGGUCCAGACUCCUACGGGAGGCAGCAGUAGGGAAUCUUCCGCAAUGGGCGAAAGCCUGACCGAGCAACGCCGCGUGAGUGAUGAAGGUCUUCGGAUCGUAAAACUCUGUUGUUAGGGAAGAACAAAUUUGUUAGUAACUGAACAAGUCUUGACGGUACCUAACCAGAAAGCCACGGCUAACUACGUGCCAGCAGCCGCGGUAAUACGUAGGUGGCAAGCGUUAUCCGGAAUUAUUGGGCGUAAAGCGCGCGUAGGCGGUUUCUUAAGUCUGAUGUGAAAGCCCACGG
rnacentral:rRNA from 1 species